AAAAUUAUUUAAGUAGAUGACUAACAUACAUAAUUGUCUUUUUUAUUUCUUCAAGAAUUCUAUUAACCCUAUUUUACUUAUGAUGUCCUUGGAGCUGAAAUAAUUGAAUUUAAUAUUAUUUUCUGUAUAACCUUAAUCAGGAUUUUGGUUUUCAACACUGUGCCAUGAUCUUCACAGUUUGGAAACCUUUUUCAUUUGAAACGCUUUUACAAGAUUUAGUAAAUACAGAAAAAUACUUCAGUUUUAUUUUCCAAGAACAAAUCCAAUGUAAGCUUUUGAAAACUUAGAGAUGGAAACAACAUCUUUAGAUUUAGAAGUGAUUUUUGUUUGUUUUCUUAGUUAGCAUGUAUAGCAAAACUUUGACCUUUAAGUAGAUAAUCUAAGUAAGCCUAUGGCAAGGUCUUUUGAGAUUAAGUACAUACUAGCAUGAGUUGAUUCUAUGUGCCAAGGAUGGUUUCUUUAAUCUUGGUAUUCAUAGUGCAUAUAUUCAAAAGCAUACCAAGUA
rnacentral:lncRNA from 1 species